UGUAUUUGCAUGUGUGUGUGUGUGUGUGUUGUGUUGUAUGUAUGUGUUACUUCUACCACUAAUUUUUCAAAGGAGGAUGAUGUUAUCCUCAGAUUGUUUAAGGAAACAAUGUGAACCCCGAUUCCAGUCCCAGUCAAUCGCUAGUGGACAGCCAGGCUGUGUUCUCAGUAGCCAUGAUAGUUUGCCUUUUCCUCUUGUGAUGUGCUCAGGACCAACACAUCUCAAGAUCUUGCCUAGGCAAGAGCACUCAUGACAGCGAUCCCAAUGGAGCUUUGACUGACAGCUCAGAAAGCUCCCUUGCUCCCUCUUGGGCACUGAUCUGGGGAAGAUGCCCUCACUUUUCCCUUAAGAAAAACCAUCACAAGCGUUCAGAGAAGACAAGGGUUACUCUCCUGAUCUAACACUAAAGGUGACUGUUUAGUGUCAUAAGCAGAAGCAAACCUGUGAGGGCUAGGAGAUGGCUCUGUUGGUAAGAAGCAUGAGGACCUGGGUGUGAUGCCUGGAACACACAUGCAAAGUGAGGCAUUGUGGGGGAGAGGGGGUGAGGGGAAGAGGGAGAGAGAGACUCUGUUACUUCAAGUUUUCACACAGCACAAGCACUCUCCUCUUCUAUGGGUGAGUCCGUGUUGAUGGGAUGAUGCUCCAUUGCUGUACCACGUCUUAUCUCUAACCUCGUCUAAAGCUACGUUUAUGUCCUACGUGUUUAUGUCCCUCAGCAUUGGCCAAGGAACUAAUGGUAUGGCCACUGGAAGGAGGGAACGUGGAAGAGGGAAGGAUGCGCAGUGGAGAAGAAUAGCGAAGAGAGGAAAAGAGGAAAAGAAGCAAAGAGCCCAGGCCCAUGGCAGGGAGAUCAACACAGACGACUCAGUUACGAACGCGAGCUAAACACGGAGCAUCAGUCAUCUGCCUCAUGUCACUAUGUGUGGAGGCCAGAGGAUACCUUGCAGGAGUUCUUCCUUCCAACACAUGGGAUCCAUGGACCAAACUCAGGUUGUCAGGGCCAGAGGAGCAGAAGAUUACCAUGUCAACAUCUCCAGGCUUCCAGAGGCGUCCACUUGAGCCCUGCCUCCCUCCAGGACCUGUCACUUGACAGGGACGCUCCUGCUACUUAGAUCUGAAGAUCCACUGGAAUGUGGUAAAGGCUCAGGGUAUUCCUCCUGUUGUCAGGAGACAAUCAAGCAGAGAGAUCUUCGUCUUUUCGUUCCCUACCACAGGAAUGGCCUCAUAAUGUGGUUGGCAAGGGAUCCAACAUGGGAAGCACUCGGAAGACUCCUCGGCACAGAAUGAGCAUGCAGCCUAAUAUUUGCUGGCUUUUAAGACAAACAGGUCCAAUGGAAAUACUCCACAUGUACAAGGCUAAUCUCCCAAGAGUCUCUGCUUCGUGGGCUGCUGGGAUUAGCUUCAGAAUGCUCUUUUAUUCAUGUCUGAGUUGCAGAUUUGAAGGCCUGGGAAUCCAUGUGUCUGGAGUUUCAUGACUCUGAAAAUGGCCCUAGCUUCAUCUCAUAACAGAGAAGUGUGGAGCUUGCCGAUGGCAUGUAUGCUUUGCUCAGACACUGGAGUGAAUCUUGACUGUUAUUUCUUAGUCAUGUGACUUUCAUCAUGUUACAUGAACCAUGUAGAUGCUCAGUUGAUUUCAUCCGUGCAAUGGGCAUAAUGGGUUUAGAUCAAGAGUUAGACAUUAUCUCUUGAGCAGCUACUCUUCCUAGGCUGUCCUUUGUACUUUACGAUUAAUUGUGUACAGCCUGAAGGGAUCAUAGUUACAAAUACAAUUUGGACCCAGUUCUUUUCUGCAGUUUGAGAGAGGGCCUUAAAAGUGUUAUGCAGCUAAGGAUAACCUUAAGCUUCUGAUUCUCCUUCGUUCACUCCACAAGUACUAGAAUGAAAGGGAUCGUCUUGGUUCAUGUGGGCCCAGGGGAUCCAACUCAGGGCUUCCUGCAUGCUAGGCAAGCACGCUCCCCAAUGAGCUACAUUUCUACACUGCUGCUUUUGAGUAAAAGCCCUUCAUUGUCUGCCUCUUGCUCAACUCUCCAACAAGACCAGCUUUUGAUUUUGCAGCUCUUCUCCCUUCCUGCCGUGUGCUAGUUCUAUGGAGCUUCCAUCUGUCCCCAAAGCUUCCAGGCUCAUUCCUACUUCACAGUGAUGCUUCCGCAAUGAGUCUUUGCCUCUUACAUCUUUGCCGGAUUGGCUUCCUAUGAGCCAUUUUCUCCCCAGUAACACCUUCGCACCUCAAACAUCACCUUUUGCCUGUCCAGCUAAAGUUGUCCCUUUCUACCUGUUCCCUCCAUCCCCUCCCUCUUCUGAUUAUUCAGUUUUAUUUUCUUAUGGUGAUUGCUGUUAACAGAUACAUCUGCCUGUGGGAUUUCUGGGUCCCCAGCUAUUAGCUGUUUUGCAUAAGGAGGGAAGUCUUACUUCUUUAUCUUUAAUGCAUAGUGUGUCUGGCAAGUAACUGAUGCUUAACGAAAAUUUCUGAAAUAUAUAAGCCAAGAAGUGGUACUUUCAAAGUGAUGGGUAGAAAAAAACAAGAACACUGUGUCCCCUGCUUCUGGUUCUGUGGGUCAACUCUCCGUUCCCUGCUCCUUCUCCUUCCUCCCAUUCCCUCUCUCCUCCACCCCACAUCUGCAGUUCUGUAUGCAUGUCUGUCUGCAUGGGUGUGGCCAUCAGUGGCUAUCCCUCAAGUGCCAUUCUCCUUGUUUUGUGGGACAAGUACUGUCUUUGGCCUGGAAUGCACCAUGUAGGCGAGGCUGGCUAACCAGACAGUCUCAGGGAUCUGCCUGCCUCUGCCUGUCUAACCUGGAUUACAACCGUGUCACCCACACCUUGUUUCGUAUUUUUAGGGUGACUUCUGAGAUGAAACUUAGGUCCUCCUGCUUGCAGGACAAGCAUUUACCCACUGAGCUAUCAAUCUGGUCCCUGUCUGGUUUAUUUCUACUUACAUUAAGAGAUAAGACAUUCUUUUUUUUUUUUUAAGGAGUCACCUAGGUAUUCUAUCUAUGACUUUUCCACGCUUCUUGGUGGCUUACACCACUUGACUCCUGAAGUUCCAGGUGUUUUUGUAUUUGUCCUUUAUCUCACAGGGGGGCAGCUGUGAGCAAAUAAGAGCUGCCUUCCAUGCUGCCAGGCUUGAAGGCGUCUCCCAAGUUGGGACUGAGUUUUGAAUUGUUUGGGUUCUUCUGCAUGGUGACGCUCCUUUUGUCCAGAGCUAACUGAGCUAGGGCUCCUCCAUUGAACAAAGGUGCCCUUAGGCAGUAGGGCAGUUAGUGAGUGACCUCUGUAAACAGGGCUUUCUUAGGAGAAAGGAAAAGUCUAGGGGUCCUGGUCGGGUUCAUUUUGUCUGCAGGUAUAGGACUAAAAGGCAGGAACAAUCUCAAGCAUAACAGGCAGCAGCAGCAGGGACAAACACGGCAGAAAGGCGCAGAGAAAACCAGCCAGUGUAGAGAGGCUUGCUUCUAUUAUGGGCGAGGAAAGGCAUACUCCCAGCCACCCUCAGCACCCCUCACAAUCCUUAAAUAAGGUUGGUCAUUUUGAAUAAAGACAGGUUGGCCUUGAACCUCUGUCCAGUCCACCGGUCCAUCAGCAGGAAGGCUUUCCUGGUGUGAGAAAAGCCCUCUCAGCUUUUGUUCUAAUUGGUCAGGCUCUUGUCUUGGGUCAGGAGGGUGAGGAAGAAGCCGGCCAUCUUGGAAGUUCACCACUUUAUUACCCAGUCAUGGCCCCUCUCCCUAUUAGUGUGUGCACCAGGAGUCUGUCCAGCUCUUCACCUCUGAGGAGCACACAUGCAAACAAGUGCUCAACUUCACCUUUGAGUGGCCACUCUGGGGUGGCCAGCUUGAGUUUCAUGUUUGCAGUUCUUUGCAUUUUGUCUCCCUCAUAAAUCUUGAACAUUUGAACACUUGGUCCUCUGUUGGAGGCUAUUUUGGGGGAGGAUUAGAAGGUGUGGCCUUCUGGAGGAGGAGUGUCACUAGGGUGGGC